ensembl:snRNA LOC120093917 U6 spliceosomal RNA
GUGCUUACUUCACAGCACAUUCACUAAAAUUAGAACAAUACAGAGAAAACUAUCAUGGCCCCUGUGCAAGUAUGACGCACAAAAGGUACAGGAAUAGGUUCCAGGUUCAA